UCAACCAUGGAUUACCGAUAUGUAUUGGUUUCAAUGUGAUACCAUUGGUACAGUAACAGGUGGCGUGGUACCACUCUGGUACAGUACUGUCAUAACGUUGCAGCUGCAGAGGGAGUUAUGCGGACUGUGUGUGUUGGUCAAAGAGGUGGGAUUCCAGCUGGAUUAUACUUUCUCUGAUAUCGUAGUUUCACUCUACUCAUAGCUCCAGUUUUUAAUUAACAUGCACAAAUCACUGUAGACUAUCUGGGAGAAAUCAGAUAGAGCUGUCAUAGUGUGACAAAACCAUUGACUGCCCUCCACAAUAGAAAUGACUGGACCACAUCCACAGGGUGUAGCCACAGUAUAUCAGGCCAUACACAGUUAGUUGUCGGUGCAUUGGAUUGAAGAAAAUAUGAAUCACUGUGACUUUAUCAUUGGUGUGCCAGACAAUGAUACCUUUCUCACUCUGAACAAGAUGACCACAUCUAGUUUCUACCCCCCUGCUCCACAGCGCCCUCUAUCCCCGAUCUCAAGCUUUCUGGCCCCUUAGCCCUAUCGUGAGAGAUGGGUGCGAGGCAACGUGGAUCAGGCCUGAUUUGCAUUCAAAAGAGGAUUACCGAGGAAUCAACCAAAACAUUCUGCUAGCUGCUUAGAGGACUUUAAGCAGCUUCACUCGAGGAGGGAAUAAAGCUGGCAUUAGCUCCUCACCUCUGCUCCUCUUCCUGGGAGAGAAAGAGGGGGUACACUGCAUAAAACAACCCUCAACUAACUGAUUGUCAACAGCCAUGCUGUGGCACUGCAAUGGCGUCUCAACGGUUCAAAUAGUCAGAUUUCAAGAUUUCACCAAUUCUAACCAGUACUUCAUUGCUGUAACAUCAGUACCAGUGUGUUACCAUGUCUCUGAAAUAUUUGCUUUAAAUCCAUGGUGUUGCCACUAGUGGUAAAGAAAAACAAAUAUCUCUCUCUCUCUCUCUCUCUCUCUCUCUUCUCUCUUCUCUCUCUCUCUCUCUCUCUCUCUAUAUAUGUAUAUAUGAUACAGCUUCAGAAGGCACUGAAUCAUGACUGAUUACACAGAGAACAUCCAAGUACUGCUUGCUAAAAACAGACGCGGUAAAAAAAAAAAGGGACGACUCCAGCAUAAUGCUUUACAUUUAAAUGCUUGUGACGUUUUUGGAUGUCUCACCGUAGUCCUUAAUCUUUAAGUGCUAGACAACACUGUCUUCCAUUCUCCAUGCAGGGGCUGCACUUUCUCCUUCCCUGUCAAUCAGCUCUAAUCACAAGGUCACUCUUCUUAUCUUCCAGUUCUCACUUCUUAUCGCAAGCCUACACUUCCCUGUCCCUCAGUUCUAAUCACCAAGUCACACAGCUUACCUCCCAGUCAGCCCUAUGCACUAGGCCACACUGCUUCCUCUCAUUGUCUAGGCAUUACGCAGUGACACUAGUUGAAGUCCCAGUUGCUGUCUCAUAUAUAGGUUGAUUGUGCUCCACUGCAGCUCUGCCAGAGAGCACGGAGAGGAUGCUGGGAUAUUCUCUGGAGGACUUGAGGCUGCAAUUAGAGUUGGGGGAAGCCUCUCAAGUGGCCUGGCAUUCUGCCAAACGUCUCGGCUCUCUGCUUUGACAGGGGGUCGGCUGGGAACAGGAAUCCCUGACGGGCUCUUUUAGGAAUGCUUGUGCACUCUGCAUUAUGUCUGUCCGAACUGUCUCAGAGGGAUGGGCUUUCAUUACAUGGCAAACUCCACGUCCAAUCAGAGAUCUCCGUGGAGGGUCUGCUUACUUUGCAGAAUUAAACUGGGACAGAACUGCCCGGAAAUAACUCCCAGCUCUUAACGGACCAGCAAAGAGUCAUUGUAUUAUCUUUUAAUACUUGCUAAUCAUUCAAGCAGGUUUGAGGCAAGUUUCUUGCUAGUUAACUUCCCAGCAAGUACAUAUGGCAAAUAAAUAAUGACAUGUUUUUUCUCCUUUUUUUAUAUAAUUUACUACUCCAUUCAUUGCUCCCCUACUCUUGUCUCUUGUCCUGCUAUGUAUAAUUGUAUCAAUUUAUAUCCUACAUUUAAAAAUAAAUGUGCAUUUUUUUAUAAUGAUCAGCAAAAUGCAUAUAACAUGAAUCUGUGUUGUACUGUUUUAUAACAGUAUUAUUGGGCUUUUACACAUCUAUAACUCAUAACUGGUACAGCAGUACAACCUACAACCUACAACCUGCAAACUCUGCUGCCCGUCUUGUCUUUUCCCUUCCCCGUUUCUCCCACGCUGCACUGCAGUGCCGCUCCCUCCACUGGCUCCCUAUCGUCGCUCACAUCCAAUUAAAAACUCUUGUACUCGCCUAUCACUGCCUCAACCUUUCUGCUCCCUCCUAUCUCCGGACUAUCAUUUCUCCCUACACCCCCUCUUGCCCCCUCCGCUCCUCUACCACCAGCAGAUUAGGGAGAGUGGGACGGAAAGACCAGCAUUAUGGAGCCCUUUUGACUGGCUGAUCACACUGCAUUCAGUGGAAUUUAAUAAUUUAUCACUCUGAUUAAAGCUGACAUUUAGCAGGGAUCCUCCUAUACUCUCAAUGAGGUCAGCUUCUUAAAGGGCAGAUCCUGCUCUUCUCAAAGUCUCCACAGUCACUUCUGGCAUGUUUAUAUUUGAUUCCGUUGCUGUUAUUUCACCGUGGCGCCAGAGAACAUUUAUUAUUUUAUUUAAUGGCUCAUUUUUCUGCUUUGAUUUUUCCCCAAGGAUAGCCCCAGUGAAAUGUGUCUUUUAAUUUGUAUGAGUCACAUUGAAGGAAUCGCUAUGCCUGAUCCCGAGGAAGGACAAGUGCCACCAGUGGGGAUUGUUCCCUGGACCUUCAUCACGCACUACAAACAAGAACUUUACUGCUUGAACUAAAAAUAUCCACUGCAAUUCCCCGCACAGGUCAGGAGAACUGAAGGUUCAGUGGGCGUCCUCCGAUCACAUGACCAAGCCAGCUUCCUCUUUUACACCCAGGAACCCGAGAGCAGCUGGCAUUUGGAGGACAGAGGCCAGCCCUGCAGGCGUCCGCCUGAGCUCACUAGGCGCCUGGCCGUCAGGGUCUGCUGUAGCGCGAUGAGGAGAAACGGUCCCUGACGGUUUUGGCUCCCUAAUCCACGGGAGUGCCAGAGUCAAUGCAACGCUCCUUUCAGAAUCCCCAGUGAAGACCAGAGACUUCGCACAGCCAGGACGCAAACCUGCGCUCCCCUGACUGUGUGACUCACCUUGCACACCACACAGCUGUGCUUUUACCAGGUCAUUGUUUCACAAGCCCAUCAACUACCAGGAGAGAGGAGGAGGAGGCGGAGGAGGGAGGGAGAGCAUCAAGGCAACCUACCUUGCAAGGAAUGGGGUGUUCCUCCAGUGAUAUCAUUCAUAUCAUAACACAUGGUAUGUUAAACUGCAUAUCUGUUUGCAUUUGCAAAUAAAAUAUCUGAAAUGCAUGCUUGCCUUUACUCGUUAUAGCGACCCAAAUAUUCUUCCAACUGUGAUGUCAUCAUGGGAUAGAAACCUCGAAAGCUUCAAAGAAAAUACAGCGGCAAGAUUUUUCUUUUGUUCCUAAAACUUGGGUGGACGCUUGAACUGUGACCAAUCCAACACUUUCAUCUAAUUUAGUUCUCUUCUCAUCAAUUCAGCCGGAGUCAAGCAUUGAAUCAGAUUUUUUUGUAAAUAUUUUUGCUGUAGUAGGCAUUCAGUGCUUUUCAAGCCUGUGUAUUCAAUGCUUUUCAAUGGGCCAUUAUACCCAAUGGAUUAAUAAUAAAACAAUUUAAAUUUUUUAUACAGCGCCUUUCAUAGUGGACCACCAUCACAAAGCGCUUUACAGAGGUAGGCUGUGAACUGAUUUAACAUCUCAUCCGCUGGAUGGAGCACAAGGAGGUUAAGUGACUUGCUCAGGGUCACACAAUGAGUCAGUCAGUGGCAGGUUUUGAACCUGUGACUGUCUGGUUAUGAGCCCUGGACCUUAACCGUUGGGCCACACUGCCUCUUAAGGCUUGGAAAACCAUCUUGUUUCCUUUUCUAGGGUACAGGCUGUAUUAUGCACAUAUUUUUAGGUGAACUCUCAACCGCAUUGAACGUCAUUCUAAAGUAGGAUUUUGAGAAGAGGAAGUGAGCAAGAUAUAUAGAAAAGAGUGCAUAUCUAUGGGAAAAGCAUCAUUCAUGGAAGGGGUCAGUUACUGUUUUCAGUGUCUUGCUUUAUGACUGUUUUAAUUCACCAAGCAUCUUGAGAAACAUCAAAGCUAUGCUUUAAGAUGCAAUUUAAAUGUAAAUAUACUGUACUGUACAGAUGAAUGUGUUUUGAAUGCACAAUACAGCGAAACCCAUGCACAGGGUAUGAAUCAAGGGACUGGAGUAGCAGGACCCCUCUCUUCCCCAUGCACAGUUACAGGGUCACAUAUCCCCUGUCGUGAGUGAUGUAUGGUCAUUGUGAGUGUCUGCCUGUUGAUUGGGAGAAGGGGAGACCGUAGAGCUGAAUUUAUUAGGACACAGAGAGGCUUUUACUGCAGCAGACUAUCAGAAAAUCAAUUGGAAGAGAAUCCAUUUCAAUUUACAGCUGUUUAAAAUUCUUCUCCUGGUGUCUGUGGUUCCUGUCUCUCAGAGCAAUCUGCAUUCAACAGCGUGACGUUCCAAAGGGACACCCGUAAAAGCAAAGCUGGGAUUCGCAAAAAAGAGACUAAAGAGACUGGACCCCUGGCAAUGAUGAGCUACAUUGGGGUUAGAUAUCAACCCCUUUCACACUGCACUUUCCUUAACCACUGAGCUCCUCAAACCCACUGCCUUCCACACUGCAGCCCAGCACCUUCUCCAAGUACUGAGCAACUCAAACCCACUGCCUUCCACACUGCAGCCCAGCUACUUCUCUAAGCACUGAGCUACUCGAACCCACUGCCUUCCACACUGCAGCCAAUCACUUUCUUUCUCUAACCAUUUAGGUGCUUACACCCAGAAUCUUCUGCACUGCAGCCCAGAGCUCCAACCACCAAGCUAUUCAGGUUUUGUGUGAUGUGUGUAAUGUGCUGUGAUAACAUACUGUAUAUUUCCUGGAUGUACUGUAAAGCCGAGUAUACACUACAUGUCUCACAAAAUGCUGUUUCCAAACACAAGUAGACCUGACUUCAACGUCAACCACCUUGUCUUUACCUUACACCUUGCAGUAUAAGCAACUACAAACAAUAUUGCUUUACUUCAAACAAGUAACUGGCUUGUGGAGCUAUACCACACUGUACACUCUCCACUCUGGGGAAAGGAGAAUGCUUCUCCUUCCCCCAUUAUAACUUUAAGUUGGUCUUACAUUGUACAUUAAUAAAAAAAUAAAAAAAAAACAGACGAUCAACUUCAUUGCAGAAUUGAUUGGGAGGACAUGCUGAAGCUGGGUUGUCAAGCUUCUGUGGCCCUUCUCUUGGUGUCAGUCCAGGCUGUCUGGCUCUGAAGGGACGCUCCUUCUCUUUGGGCUUGGAUCCAGUGGCCUGCAGUGUCAUUCCUCAUCCCAGCCCUGCUGUCAGCGUUAAUAAGGAACCAGAGUGGGGACAUUAAUCAACAGCAGGCUGCAACACAAUUCCUCUGAGAUUAAAAAUCGCCUCCCAGCCCUCGAACAUCAGAUUUUACAGUUUUACCGCUAAAUGCAUUCCGCUCUGGGCCUCACAAAACACAUUUCCCAAUGCCUGGUCAUUUAUUAUCGUCCAAGUCUGAACUCCUGUUACGCUGUCGGACAGAUAACACUCCCUUAGAACACUCCUGUCUGUGUGUCCCACACUCCCUCACUCACUCCCUCCAUACCUCACUCACUCACUCCCUCAAUCACUGAGAGCAAUGGGUUUCGGUGUGGGAGUAAUCCUCACAGUUUCGGCUGGGUAAUGUUGUUCACAGUGCGUAGCUGGAGGAUCUCAAUAACACUGAAAUGCCAGGAACUCCCCAGGAAGCAAUCAGCCUGAGAUCCUUUUAUUCAAGCUACUAAAUUUUUUACGAGUGUGGGGCUACAGCAAUGCUCUGCUGCAUGCUAAUGAGCACUGUGGCUUUGUGCUCUGUAGUGACCUCUACUGGAGAUACCCUGUCUGCGUGGGACAGGGAUUUCUUGUGUAGCACCAGGCUGUCAGGAUGACACUGAUUCACAAGAUGUUUAAAUUGUUCCGAAGGGACGUUUUUUCCCAGGUCUUUUUUCCCCGAAGUUUCCCAAUCCCUUUUGAGCCUGUUCCUCGUGAAACACCAAUAAUUAAUGCAGUCGUGGACAUAGAAGCAACUGCCAAUUGUAUGCCAGAUCUGCAGAUGCAGAAUUUGUAUAUCUCAUAAAUUGUCACGGAUGUUAAUUGCACAAUGAAUCACUGAAUUCAUGUUACAGUUUAUUGAUAGUAAAGUGGGCUGUUCCAUACAGGCCAGUAUUGCAAGGUCACAUGUGUGGAAUGCACACGGAUAUAAUCCUGAGCCUUUGUCAGACACAGCAAUUCAAUAAAGCUCUUUGUCUGCUGCUGCUGCUGCUGCUUAUAAUCAAUAGGGCUGGGAGCACAGUGAUUAUUCUCUCUGGUGCUGGUUCAGUCAAUAAUUGAAUUUCCCGGAUUGCAUGGGUGGCAAUGGACUCUUCUUUAGGGAGGCAAGGGGCUGGCCCUGACUUAUAUAAGACAAUAUAAUUACUGCAUUAUCGAAGCCUGCUAAUUCCCUUCUCUCUUCCCUGCCAUUAUCCCACAUAAUUAUUGCAGUCAGAUGUGUCAAUAAUGUGAAUUAUCUAGCCAGCUCUGUGUGUUCUUGAUCAACGUCCAGAGGUUGUGGAAGCGUGCUAUUAGCAGGGGAACCCACUCAUAAACCUUUACUUGUAAUGACAGUGUGUUUGAAUCAAAGAGUGCGGGUGUUCCCUCAAAGCACUACAAAGUAGCGCAUUUGGGUUUGUUCUAGAAAGGUGCAAAAUACAUGAAAGAAAGCGUUUUUCUCUUUGCGUCUUGGUGCAAUAGUAAGCGAUUGUUGAAGGAAAGGGGAAGACAAUGGUUGCAGAGGCCGGUGACAGUAUGAAGGUGAACAAGCUAUAUCAACCAAAAGAGAUACGUAGGAUGAAGUGCUAAGGGGUAGGGCGUUCUAAUACACUGUUCACACUCUGUAUAUGACGAAUUCCUGGGAAUGAUAAGGUGAUGCAAUAUUACAGACUCUGUAUAAUGAGGCUGGAUUUCUGCUUACCUUAUUUAGCAGUGAGUGCUGAUGGAGUGCAAACCCCUGGAUUGUUUAAUCACAUCAACAGCAAUUCCUACAACCCACUCACUACCAGGGACUGCAAAGUUAGUUGCAUCCGGCUAUAAGCUUAGGAGAGGCUACUGGUUUACUCUAAUACAGAUGUGCACAUGAUAAUGCAUUGGGCUAUUGUAACUGUUUACAUGUUAGUGUAGCAAGUGAAAAGGAAACCCGUUUUUAGCUAUAGAGAGAUGUUUGAUUUAUAAUAAUCUUGCAUGGCUCACAAAUAAGACUUGGAUAGUCUGAUCCCUUGCCCCAAAGAGCCUGUGAAUGGUGCUGUUCUCAAGCCCAUCUCUGGUGUUGCUGUGUGGUGCAGUACUGUAGGUGGGUUACGCUUCUAUAAGCUGUACUAUAAACUUCGUACGACAGAGCCCUGCUUUGCCUCUCCAUAUAUGGAGCACAGCUGAGAGAGGCAGACAGCUUGUCCCUGCUGCAGACCGCAGAGGUGCAGUGAGGUGACCCCCGAUAGCUCCAAGACAGAAACAACGCGUCUCCACCCCAGCACGGAACAUACCUCAACCACAUAAGGAAGAGACGAGAGAUGGUUUUGAAUGAAGCCGGUUCAGGGGAGGGGGGCUGGCAGUGUGUCUCUGUUUAAUGUACUGAAUUCAUCAUCUCCACGUCUGCUUCUUGUCAUACUGUCAGCAAGAGGAAGGAGAGCAGACACUUGAGUGUGGAUCUCUGAGAAAUAAUAGGCUGUUUUCACAGAUUUUUAAAUAGAUUUGUUAACUCAUUGGUACCCAGCUUUUCUCAGUCUGACGAGU